rnacentral:rRNA from 1 species
ACGUAGGGGGCAAGCGUUAUCCGGAUUUACUGGGUGUAAAGGGAGCGUAGGCGGUUUGGCAAGUCAGAAGUGAAAGCCCAAGGCUUAACCAUGGGACUGCUUUUGAAACUGUCAGACUAGAUUGCAGGAGAGGUAAGUGGAAUUCCUGGUGUAGCGGUGAAAUGCGUAGAUAUCAGGAGGAACACCGGUGGCGAAGGCGGCUUACUGGACUGUAAAUGACGCUGAGGCUCGAAAGCGUGGGGAGCAAACAG